GGAGCUGGUGCCUUAAUUUGACUCAGCACAAGAAACUUUGCUCAAUCCAGAUGCAGAAGGGAUUAACAGAUGGAUAGCUUUUUCUAGUUUCUGUGGUGCGUGGCUAUUCUUAGUCUGUGGAGUGAUUUAUCAGCUUAGUUCCGGUAAUGGUAGUGAAUAAUGACAGAUGCCUAGGAAAAAGUAUGGAAGACAACAUGUAAAGAUACCUCCUCACGAUGUAUUCUCGUCCUGCAAAAAGUCACUGUAGCUGAGUGACUUUUUGAGCUGGAGAAGUUACCUUCGUGUUUGCUGGCCCUCAGUGUCUUUCCUUUCUGCAUGUGUUUGUCUAGUCAUUUUUUGAACCUAUGCACAUUUUUAACACGUACAGAAGUCCUAAAUUGAAGCUAGGAAUCAUUUUGUUCCAGGUUACAGUGAAAUAAUAUCAAAUCCUAAAAUUCCUAUUUAAAAGCCACCCAAUUGCUUCCUGUCCGUUAAUAGCCACGUAGCUUCCUCUAUCAGCUGCCUUUAGAAAAGAGACUUGGUAGCAAGAGACGUAAUUGAAUGUGACUGGGCACGGCUAC
rnacentral:ncRNA from 1 species